GAAAUGCGAUAAUUAAUGUGAAUUGCAGAAUUCAGUGAAUCAUCGAGUCUUUGAACGCACAUUGCGCCCCCUGGUAUUCCGGGGGGUAUGCCCGUCCGAGCGUCAUUGCUGCCCUCAAGCACGGCUUGUGUGUUGGGCUUCCGUCCCUGGCAACGGGGACGGGCCCAAAAGGCAGUGGCGGCACCAUGUCUGGUCCUCGAGCGUAUGGGGCUUUGUCACCCGCUCCCGUAGGUCCAGCUGGCAGCUAGCCUCGCAACCAAUCUUUUUAACCAGGUUGACCUCGGAUCAGGUAGGGAUACCCGCUGAACUUAAGC
rnacentral:misc_RNA from 1 species